rnacentral:rRNA from 1 species
CCCUUAGAUGUCCUGGGCCGCACGCGUGCUACACUGACACCUGCAACGAGUUAUUCCAGCUCCGAAAGGCAGUUGGUAAUCAGAAAUAGGUGUCGUGAUGGGGAUAGACCCUUGGAAUUAUGGAUCUUGAACGAGGAAUGCCUAGUAAGCGCACGUCAUUAGCGUGCGCUGAUUAAGUCCCUGCCCUUUGUACACACCGCCCGUCGCUCCUACCGAUUUCGAGUGGUCCGGUGAGCCUUUUGGAGAGUGAGCGUCCUUGAGGCGCUUGCUCGAAGUCAGGCAAAUCUUACUACUUAGAGGAAGGAUAAGUCGUAACA